UACAGAGGAUGCAAGCGUUAUCCGGAAUGAUUGGGCGUAAAGCGUCUGUAGGUGGCUUUUUAAGUCCGCCGUCAAAUCCCAGGGCUCAACUCUGGACAGGCGGUGGAAACUACCAAGCUGGAGUACGGUAGGGGCAGAGGGAAUUUCCGGUGGAGCGGUGAAAUGCGUAGAGAUCUGGAGGAACACCGGUGGCGAAGGCGGCGUUCUGGACUGCAACUGACACUGAUGAACGAAAGCCAGGGGAGCAAACGGG
rnacentral:rRNA from 1 species